rnacentral:rRNA from 1 species
CUGGACUAGAAUGUGAGGGAAGUUCGUCUAAUAGCGAACGUCUGGGAAACCAGACCCAAAACAAGGUGCUGCAUGGCUGUCGUCAGCUCGUGUCGUGAGAUGUUGGGUUAAGUCCCGCAACGAGCGCAACCCUUAUCAACAGUUGCCAUCAUUAAGUUGGGAACUCUGUUGAGACUGCCGUUGAUAAAACGGAGGAAGGUGGGGAUGAUGUCAAGUCAUCAUGGCCUUUAUGUUCAGGGCUACACACGUGCUACAAUGGCCGGUACAAAACGUCGCAAUCCCGUAAGGGGGAGCUAAUCGCAAAAACCGGUCUCAGUUCGGAUUGAAGUCUGCAACUCGACUUCAUGAAGUUGGAAUCGCUAGUAAUCGCGGAUCAGAACGCCGCGGUGAAUACGUUCCC